AAAAUGUGGAGACCUGCGACCACUUUAAAAAACGGGGCGACACCGAAAAGCCAAACGAGUAGGACAACA
rfam:Flavobacteriaceae bacterium CG2_30_31_66 cg2_3.0_scaffold_343_c, whole genome shotgun sequence.